rnacentral:lncRNA from 1 species
CGGAGGCCAAGGUCGGGGGAUCACCUGAGGUUGCGAGUUGGAGACCAGCCUGACCAACAUGGAGAAACCCCGUCUCUACUAAAAAUACAAAAUUAGCCAGGCGUGGUGGCGCAUGCCUGUAAUCUCAGUUAUUCAGGAGGCUGAGGCAGGAUAAUCACUUGAACCUGGGAGGAGAAGGUUGUGAUGAGCCAAGAUUGCGCCAUUGCACUCCAGCCUGGGAAACAAGAGUGAAACUCCAUCUCGAAAGCAAACAAACAAACAAAGGACUAACAAAAAGGAGCUGGGCUACUAUGAAUAAUGCUGCUAAUGAACGUUCACAAAUAAGUCUUGUAUGGACGUAUGGCUUCAUUUCUCCAGGAGCUAUGAUCCCUUCUGAGUGUGUAUGAAGGCGUGUAUGGAAUGAGCAUUGAGCACUGAAAAUUAUCUACAAACAACCUCCACAAGCUCCAAAUUCUGCCUCCUUACAUCAACCAGAAUGAUGGUCUUUGUUUGGUUAUAUCCAACCACUGCUACAGCUUGAAACCAACUUUAUCGAGAAAACCAUAGCAAUUAUAAAGCUUCCCUCAUUUGUUUACCUUAUCUCAAUUAUCAUAGUCCUGAGCUGCUUGUGAUCUGCUGUCUAAAACAAUAAUUUUAUAUAGUUGUUUGGAUUUUGAAUUGUUUGCAGGCAUAAAGUAAGUCUUGUUCUUGUUGCUUUUGCUUAUCUGGAAGUAGAAGUUCUCUUACAUAGUGAAAAAACUCCAAGACACAGUCUGAGCAAUGAUUUUCAGAAUAGAAACCCCAGAACAGAAGAAACAAAAACAACAACAUUCAAAUGGAAUUGCAUUAAAUUAAAAACAUUCUGCAGAGCAAAGGAAACAUUCAUCAGAGUAAGGAGAUAACACAGAAUAGGAUAAGAUAUUUGCAAACCAUACAUUUGAUAAGGGGUUAAUAUAUUAAAAAAAUAAGGAAGUCAACAGUGUGAAAACAAAUAACCACAUUAAAAAAUGGGCAAAGGACUUGAAUAGAAAAUUCUCAAAAGAAGACAAAUACUGUCUGGCCUGUCUGAGACAUACGUGUCUGGCCAAAAAAAUAAAUAUACUUCUUUGGCCAAAAGGUAUAUAAAAAUGCCCAAAAUCAAGAACCAGGGUAAUGUAAAUAAUAACCACAAUAAAAUGUCAUCUCACUUCUGUUAGAAUGACCAUUAUUAAAAAGAUGAAAGGCAGCAAGUGUUGCCAAGGAUAUGGAGAAAAAGGAACACUUAGAUACUGUUGAUGGGAAUGUAAAUUGUACAGUAAUUAUGGAAAACAAUAUUGAGGUUCCUCAAAAAAAUUCAAAAUAGAACUACAAUAUGAUAUAGCAAUUCUGCUUCUGGGUAUAUAUCUUAAGAAUAUGAAACCUGGAUGCCCACAAUAUAUCUGUACUCCCAUGUUCAUUACAGCAUUGAUCAUGAUAUCUUAGAUAUCGAUUUAACCUAAGUGUUCAUGGAUAAGUGAAAAGAUUUAAAAAAUGUGAUACACACACACAUGAAUACACACACACACGUAGAAGGAAAUAUUAUUCAGCCUUAAAAUGAAGAAAAUUGUAUUAUUUGCAACAACAUGGAUAAAGGUGAACAACAUGUUAUGUAAAAUAAGCUAGAAACAGACAGACAAAUACUGCAUAAUCUCAUUUAUAUGUGGAAUAUAAAAAUGGAACUCAGAGAAAUAGAGUAGAAUCAUAGUUUCCAGGGCUGGAGGUGAGGAAGAGAAUGGGGCAAAAUUGACCAAAGGUUAUAAAAUUUCAGUUAUGCAGGAUGAAUAAGUUCUUGAGAUCUAAUAUACAACAUGCUGAAUAUAGUUAAUAAAACUUUAUUGUAUAGUUGAAUAAAGUAGAUGUUGAAUUUUCUCAGUAUAGAAAAAAAUGGGAAUUUAUGAGGUGAUUGGUAUGUUAAUAAACUUGAUUAUUGUAACCCUUUUAUAGUAUAUACAUAUACCAAAACACAAUUUACCACCUUUAUUUUCUAAUUAUACCUGUAUUAAUCUGUUUUCACACUGCUGAUUAAGACAUACCAGAGACUGGGCAAUUUACAAAAGAAAGAAGUUUAUUGAACUUACAGUUCCAUGUGCCUGGAGAGACCUCACAAUCAUGGCAGAAGGUGAAAGGCACAUCUCACAUGAUGGCAGACAAGAGAACAGAGCUUGUGCAGGGAAACUCACAUUUUUAAAACCAUCAGAUCUCAUGAGACGUAUUGACUAUCACAAGAACAGCAUAGGAAAGACCCGCCCCCAAGAUUGAAUUACCUCCCACCAGGUUAGAUGAGAUUUGGAUAGGGACAGAGUCAAACCAUAUUAAUAUCCCAUUAAAUCUGGGGGGAGAAAGAUCUGAGUGACUCCUCUACAUUAAAAAAAAACUUCCUUUGAUAUAGCACAUGAAAGAUGAGCCUAAGAAGCCUGAGAAGGUUGAGCACAUUGACAAGAGCUUAUCCAAUGCAAUGUAAACAAAAGACCAGCAAAAUUGAGAGUAAUAAUUUAGGCAGUCUCUCUUGGCCACAAACAACUCCAUGCUAUUGGUAUUUUCCUCACCAGAAACCCUUGCUAUGCCCUUUAAUACUCUGAAUUUAACAGCAGAAUCUUCAAAAUAAAGAAUGAAUAUAUUUUUCUUUGCACAGUUACUUAAUUUCUUGGAAGUUGACUCAACUUUUCUCUUUUAGUGCUUUACCCUAUUAAUUUUGACCAAAAACAUUGAGAAUGUUUACACUGACUAUUCCAGUAAAAUUACUUGACUCUCGUAAUCAUUUGUUGAGAAGUUACUACAUGCAAGGUAGAAGUCCUCAAAAGUAGAAAGUGAGAGGGAAAUUAAAACUAACUUUCAAAUAAACAACUUUUUUUUUUUAUUGCAUUAAGAGCUCAAGAGUUACUGAAAGUCUCUGAUGCAACCCAGUAUGGGUUCACCAAAUUCACCAUUUGAAACCUCUCCUUCACUAGCUUUGACACUGCACUGAGACAGGGGAGUUUACUGCCACUUUUUGCUUUAAGCCUUCUCUUUAUUUGCUGGAUGACUAAAAACUAUUAUUAUGGGGACCCACAGGCUAUUAAGGCUAUAUAGAGAUCUAGGUUAGUAAUUAUGAUUAUAAUAAUAAUAGUAAUAAUAUUACACUAUAUAUAUUAACUUUUUUUGAUUUAGUAAAAUGGAAGUUUAGACAUAUAAUACCUAAGUAACUGGGGGCUAGUGAGGUACAACAUAGAUUUUUAAUUUCCUGAUUUCUCUCAGUUGAGCCUAAACCUAUAAUACCUCUUAAAUUAUUUAAAUUAUGUUUUUUAUAUAUGCCAUAAUUAUUCACUCAUUUAUUAUAAAAUGAUCACUCAGGAAGACUGCACUGAUAUAAGUCUACAAUACAAACUCUGAAGUCCUC